rnacentral:rRNA from 1 species
UACGUAGGGCGCAAGCGUUGUCCGGAAUUAUUGGGCGUAAAGAGCUCGUAGGCGGUUUGUCGCGUCUGCUGUGAAAACUCGAGGCUCAACCUCGGGCUUGCAGUGGGUACGGGCAGACUAGAGUGCGGUAGGGGAGACUGGAAUUCCUGGUGUAGCGGUGGAAUGCGCAGAUAUCAGGAGGAACACCGAUGGCGAAGGCAGGUCUCUGGGCCGCAACUGACGCUGAGGAGCGAAAGCAUGGGGAGCGAACCGG